rnacentral:rRNA from 1 species
AACGAACGCUGGCGGCAUGCCUAACACAUGCAAGUCGAACGAGACCUUCGGGUCUAGUGGCGCACGGGUGCGUAACGCGUGGGAAUCUGCCCUUAGGUUCGGAAUAACUCAGGGAAACUUGAGCUAAUACCGGAUGAUGUCUUCGGACCAAAGAUUUAUCGCCUAGGGAUGAGCCCGCGUAGGAUUAGCUAGUUGGUGAUGUAAAGGCUCACCAAGGCGACGAUCCUUAGCUGGUCUGAGAGGAUGAUCAGCCACACUGGGACUGAGACACGGCCCAGACUCCUACGGGAGGCAGCAGUGGGGAAUAUUGGACAAUGGGCGAAAGCCUGAUCCAGCAAUGCCGCGUGAGUGAUGAAGGCCUUGGGGUUGUAAAGCUCUUUUGCCCGGGAUGAUAAUGACAGUACCGGGAGAAUAAGCCCCGGCUAACUCCGUGCCAGCCGCCGCCGUAACAC